rnacentral:misc_RNA from 1 species
AGCAGCCGCGGUAAUUCCAGCUCCAAUAGCGUAUAUUAAAGUUGUUGCAGUUAAAAAGCUCGUAGUUGAAUUUCGGGAUUGACACAUCGGUCGUGCCUUAAGGGGUAUGAACUGGUGUAGUCAAUUUCUCACCUUCUGGAGAACCGCGAUGCCCUUAAUUGGGUGCCGCGGGGAACCAGGACCUUUACUUUGAAAAAAUUAGAGUGUUUAAAGCAGGCAUUUUGCUUGAAUACAUUAGCAUGGAAUAAUAAAAUAGGACGGCAUGAUUCUAUUUUGUUGGUUUCUAGGAUCACCGUAAUGAUUAAUAGGGAUAGUUGGGGGCAUUAGUAUUCAAUUGUCAGAGGUGAAAUUCUUGGAUUUAUUGAAGACUAACUACUGCGAAAGCAUUUGCCAAGGAUGUUUUCAUUAAUCAAGAACGAAAGUUAGGGGAUCGAAGACGAUCAGAUACCGCCGUAGUCUUAACCAUAAACUAUGCCGACUAGGAAUCAGACGAU